AGAGCGAACGCUGGCGGCAGGCCUAAUACAUGCAAGUCGAACGAACCCUUCGGGGUUAGUGGCGGACGGGUGAGUAACACGUGGGAACGUGCCUUUUGGUUCGGAACAACUCAGGGAAACUUGAGCUAAUACCGAAUGUGCCCUUCGGGGGAAAGAUUUAUCGCCAUUAGAGCGGCCCGCGUCUGAUUAGCUAGUUGGUGGGGUAAAGGCCCACCAAGGCUACGAUCAGUAGCUGGUCUGAGAGGAUGAUCAGCCACACUGGGACUGAGACACGGCCCAGACUCCUACGGGAGGCAGCAGUAGGGAAUCUUGCGCAAUGGGCGAAAGCCUGACGCAGCCAUGCCGCGUGAAUGAUGAAGGUCUUAGGAUUGUAAAAUUCUUUCAGCGGGACGAUAAUGACGGUACCCGCAGAAGAAGCCCCGGCUAACUUCGUGCCAGCAGCCGC
rnacentral:rRNA from 1 species